UGCGCCUUGCCAGCCCGCUCAGAAACUUAAAGGAAUUGACGGGACCCCGCACAAGCGGUGGAUCAUGUUGUUUAAUUCGAUGAUACGCGAAGAACCUUACCAGGUCUUGACAUCCCCCCGCGAUGCUUUAGAGAUAAAGCGGAGGUAUUCGGGGAGACAGGUGGUGCAUGGUUGUCGUCAGCUCGUGUCGUGAGAUGUUGGGUUAAGUCCCGCAACGAGCGCAACCCCUAUUGCUAGUUACCAUCAUUAAGUUGGGGACUCUAGCGAGACUGCCAGUGAUAAACUGGAGGAAGGUGGGGAUGACGUCAAAUCAUCAUGCCCCUUAUGACCUGGGCUACAAACGUGAUACAAUGGCUGGAACAAAGGGAUGCGAAGCAGUGAUGUGGGGCGAAACCCAUAAAAACAGUCUCAGUUCGGAUUGAAGUCUGCAACUCGACUUCAUGAAGUCGGAAUCGCUAGUAAUCGCGGAUCAGAACGCCGCGGUGAAUACGUUCUCGGGGUUU
rnacentral:rRNA from 1 species